UACGUAGGGUGCGAGCGUUAAUCGGAAUUACUGGGCGUAAAGCGUGCGCAGGCGGUUUUGUAAGCCAGAUGUGAAAGCCCCGGGCUUAACCUGGGAAUGGCAUUUGGGACUGCAAGGCUUGAGUGCGGCAGAGGAGACUGGAAUUCCUGGUGUAGCGGUGGAAAUGCGCAGAUAUCAGGAGGAACACCGGUGGCGAAGGCGGGUCUCUGGGCAAUAACUGACGCUGAGACGCGAAAGCGUGGGGAGCGAACAGGAUAGAAACCCGAGUA
rnacentral:rRNA from 1 species